rnacentral:rRNA from 1 species
GGAAUAUUGCACAAUGGGGGAAACCCUGAUGCAGCAACGCCGCGUGAAGGAAGACGGUUUUCGGAUUGUAAACUUCUGUUCUUAGGGAAGAAGAAAGUGACGGUACCUAAGGAGCAAGCCACGGCUAACUACGUGCCAGCAGCCGCGGUAAUACGUAGGUGGCAAGCGUUGUCCGGAAUUACUGGGUGUAAAGGGAGCGCAGGCGGGAAGCCAAGUCAGCUGUGAAAACUACGGGCUUAACUUGUAGACUGCAGUUGAAACUGGUUUUCUUGAGUGAAGUAGAGGUUGGCGGAAUUCCGAGUGUAGCGGUGAAAUGCGUAGAUAUUCGGAGGAACACCGGUGGCGAAGGCGGCCAACUGGGCUUUAACUGACGCUGAGGCUCGAAAGUGUGGGGAGCAAACA